UGGGCCUCGGAAAGGAAACCACCCACAGGCUUGUGCGCCUUCUUCGCAGGCCAGGCUUUCCUUCUCCCAUGGACCUCAGCGGCUCGUAGGAACGACAUGGCACACAUUGGUGGUGGCUCUCCUCCCAGGCACUACCCCUCAUCUUGUCUCCCGUGUUUGGGCACCCAGGCUGGAGUAGCAACCCAUCUCAGUCAAUGGCAAAGGAAGCUUCCAGUGUGGCCUGUAUUCCUUGGCUUGUGGCCUGUUCCUCCCUCUUCACAGCGCAUCACUUAGUCCUCUGCGUCCAGCAUCACGUGGCCUUCUCCUCUUCAACCUGCCUGCCUCCCUCUUAAAGGACCCUUGAGAUGACACUAGGUCCUCCUGGAAAAUCCAAAGUAAUCCCCAAUCUCGAGAUCCUUAAUUUAAUCAUAGCUGCAAAAUUUCUUUUGCCAUGUAAGUUCACAAUCACAGGUGCCAGAGAUUAGGACAUAUUUGGAGCUAUUUUUCAGUUGACCACAGUUAGGAAUAACUACAUAAACAAACCAGCAGCUAUCUCAGAGG